rnacentral:rRNA from 1 species
GACGAACGCUGGCGGCGUGCUUAACACAUGCAAGUCGAACGGAAAGGCCCUGCUUGCAGGGUACUCGAGUGGCGAACGGGUGAGUAACACGUGGGUGAUCUGCCCUGCACUUCGGGAUAAGCCUGGGAAACUGGGUCUAAUACCGGAUAGGAGCCAUUUUUAGUGUGAUGGUUGGAAAGUUUUUUCGGUGUAGGAUGAGCUCGCGGCCUAUCAGCUUGUUGGUGGGGUAAUGGCCUACCAAGGCGGCGACGGGUAGCCGGCCUGAGAGGGUGGACGGCCACAUUGGGACUGAGAUACGGCCCAGACUCCUACGGGAGGCAGCAGUGGGGAAUAUUGCACAAUGGGCGCAAGCCUGAUGCAGCGACGCCGCGUGGGGGAUGACGGCCUUCGGGUUGCAAACUCCUUUCGCUAGGGACGAAGCUUUUUGUGACGGUACCUAGAUAAGAAGCACCGGCUAACUACGUG